CAGCUGUGACUUACAAUGGAGUUGAUAACAACAAGAAUAAAGGGCAGCUGACUAAGUCUCCCGAUUCCUGUUGGUGCAACCCCAGAGCUGCUGCACAGCGGAAGAGGCCUUGGCACACCCAUUCUUCCUGCAGUACGUGGUGGAGGAAGUGCGGCACUUCAGCCCCCGGGGGAAGUUCAAGGUGAUCGCUCUGACUGUGGUGGCUUCAGUGCGGAGCUACUACCAGUACCACCGGGUGAACCCGGUGACCCGGGAGAUCGUCAUCCGAGACCCACCCCUACACCCUCCAGCCUCUGCGCCGGCUCAUCGACGCCUACGCUUUCUGAAUCUAUGGCCCCUGGGUGAGGAAGG
ensembl:lncRNA novel transcript